UACGAAGGGGGCUAGCGUUGCUCGGAAUCACUGGGCGUAAAGGGUGCGUAGGCGGGUCCUUAAGUCAGGGGUGAAAUCCUGGAGCUCAACUCCAGAACUGCCUUUGAUACUGAAGAUCUUGAGUUCGGGAGAGGUGAGUGGAACUGCGAGUGUAGAGGUGAAAUUCGUAGAUAUUCGCAAGAACACCAGUGGCGAAGGCGGCUCACUGGCCCGGUACUGACGCUGAGGAGCGAAAGCGUGGGGAGCGAACAGG
rnacentral:rRNA from 1 species